ACUCCUGCGGGAGGCAGCAGUGGGGAAUUUUGGACAAUGGGGGCAACCCUGAUCCAGCAAUGCCGCGUGAGUGAAGAAGGCCUUCGGGUUGUAAAGCUCUUUUGUCAGGGAAGAAACGGUGGUGGCGAAUAACUACUACUAAUGACGGUACCUGAAGAAUAAGCACCGGCUAACUACGUGCCAGCAGCCGCGGUAAUACGUAGGGUGCAAGCGUUAAUCGGAAUUACUGGGCGUAAAGCGUGCGCAGGCGGUUGUGUAAGUCAGAUGUGAAAUCCCCGGGCUCAACCUGGGAAUUGCAUUUGAGACUGCACGGCUAGAGUGUGUCAGAGGGGGGUAGAAUUCCACGUGUAGCAGUGAAAUGCGUAGAUAUGUGGAGGAAUACCGAUGGCGAAGGCAGCCCCCUGGGAUAACACUGACGCUCAUGCACGAAAGCGUGGGGAGCAAACAGGAUUAGAUACCCCGGUAGUCCCA
rnacentral:rRNA from 1 species